AAUUGGGACAGUGGCGAGGCAGGACGCGCUCACUCGGAGGUGCCGGGCUACCUGUUGAGUGUGUGUGUGUGUGUGAGGUCUUUUAAGUGAUGUCAGUGGUUUCUGUGAUGUCGGUGUUCUUCUUCUUCUUGCCUUCUGCCGUGAGCGCAGCAGCCGCGGCCGAAAUAUAGCUCUUCUUAUGUGUUCAAUCUUUCCUUCUUCCUACUUGCCACCUACAAUGUAUGCGAGUAAUCAGGUGCAGAUGACAGUAAUUCUCGCUCGCGUUUUAAGGAGACUCCUCUUGCUGUAAGAAAACGUCGAGUGGAAAGCGCGGAGUGAACUCUGCAGUGACUCUGGUCCUCUUCGCAGUGGUGGAGUUCUUGAUUUCAUUGAGCCUUUGAGGCCGUGAAGGGGAAAGAAAAGAAAAGAAAAAAAAUUAAAAGCCUCAUCUUCUGGUUUUCGAUUGUGCCGCUUUGAACAAGUUGUGUGUGAAAAUUGUCGAGUGUCCAAUUAACAGAUUCUAACGUUUAUUUUUGUUUUUAAUUCCUGGGGUGAUUUAGACGUUGAGGGGCGAUUAAGAAGUCGAAGCGGUGAUUUUUAGACGUGGAAGGGGUGAUUUAGGAGUCAAAAGGGUGAUUAAGAAAUCGAGGUGCGAUUUGGACGUCUAGGAGGGUGAAUUAGUAGUCGAAAGGGUGAUUUUUAGACGUCGAGGAGGUGGUUUUAGACGUCGAAGGGGUGAGUUUAGACGUCGAGGGUAGAUUUAGACGUCGAAGGGGUGAUUUAGAAGUCGAAAGGGUGAUUUUAGGAGUCGAAGGGGUGAUUUAGACGUCGAGGGGGAUUCCCGAGAAGAAGGAGGAGCCAAUACAAUGAG